AGGGAUCUUCGGAUUUGGGAUUCAAUUAUUGUGAUGUGUAGUUUGUAAUUGUGAUUGCUCUGUUUUAUAGUUGUAGUUAUAUAUCACAAGGAGAGAUUUUUUUUAUAUAUUAUAGAAGUGAUGAACUAAGCCCAAAUCUCAAAUCUUUAAUCUCACUUGACCAUAGAAUCAAUCAUUCAUUCUUUGAUUUUUGUAAAUAUGGGGAAGUUCGUGAGAAGACAGAGAAAGCGUAAAUAUGGGGAAGUGUAAAUAUUAAGAAAGAGAGACAGAGAAAGUGUAAAUAUGGGGAAGUUCGUGAGAAGGGGUUGGGUAGUGGCGUGUGUGUUGGUGUUACUGAUGUCGACUCAUUUUACAUCCCCUAUCCGGAGAUAUGCUGAUUUGUGCAGGUAUGGAAUCGCCACCAUGUCUUGUCUUUAAACAGUAUUCACAUGGAGGUAGUAGAGCCUCAGCCUAAUCGACCAAAACUCCAACUCACUCUCUUGUAAAACUCUCCAACCUUGUAGUUUUACUUUCACUUGUGUACCAAUGUCAAGAGUUUAGGUGGUUUUACGUUUGUUACCUCUUUGUGUUCAUUAUCGAAGUCAAAGACAUUGUAUCAUCAUUUAUGUUAUCUAUAGAUGGAUGUGAGUGGCUGUGCAUCAAUUUUGGUCA